CCUACGGGCGGCAGCAGUGAGGAAUAUUGGUCAAUGGGCGAGAGCCUGAACCAGCCAAGUCGCGUGAGGGAGUACUGCCCUAUGGGUUGUAAACCUCUUUUGUCGGGGAGCAAAAGCCGGACGUGUCCGGCUGUGAGAGUACCCGAAGAAAAAGCAUCGGCUAACUCCGUGCCAGCAGCCGCGGUAAUACGGGGGAUGCGAGCCGUAUCCGGAUUUAUUGGGUUUAAAGGGUGCGCAGGCGGAUUUUUAAGUCAACGGGAAAAUCGUGGGGCUAAACCCCAUCCAGCCGUUGAAACUGGGGAUCUAGAGUGUGCGAGAGGUAUGCGGAAUGCGUGGUGUAGCGGUGAAAUGCAUAGAUAUCACGCAGAACCCCGAUUGCGAAGGCAGCAUACCGGUGCACAACUGACGCUCAGGCACGAAAGCGUGGGUAUCGAACAGGAUUAGAUACCCUGGUAGUC
rnacentral:rRNA from 1 species